UACGAAGGGGGCUAGCGUUGCUCGGAAUCACUGGGCGUAAAGGGUGCGUAGGCGGGUUUUAAGUCAGAGGUGAAAUCCUGGAGCUCAACUCCAGAACUGCCUUUGAUACUGAAAGUCUUGAGUAUGGGAGAGGUGAGUGGAACUGCGAGUGUAGAGGUGAAAUUCGUAGAUAUUCGCAAGACACCAGUGGCGAAGGCGGCUCACUGGCCAUA
rnacentral:rRNA from 1 species